rnacentral:rRNA from 1 species
AACGAACGCUGGCGGCAGGCUUAACACAUGCAAGUCGAACGCUCGUAGCAAUACGGGAGUGGCGGACGGGUGAGUAACGCGUGGGAACGUGCCCUGAGGUACGGAAUAACUGAGGGAAACUUCAGCUAAUACCGUAUGAGCCCGAGAGGGGAAAGAUUUAUCGCCUUGGGAGCGGCCCGCGUCGGAUUAGCUAGUUGGUGGGGUAACGGCCUACCAAGGCUUCGAUCCGUAGCUGGUCUGAGAGGACGAUCAGCCACACUGGGACUGAGACACGGCCCAGACUCCUACGGGAGGCAGCAGUGGGGAAUCUUGCGCAAUGGGGGCAACCCUGACGCAGCCAUGCCGCGUGAACGAUGAAGGCCUUAGGGUGUAAAGUUCUUUACCCGUGACGAUGAUGACGGUAACGGGGAAUAAGCUCCGGCUAACUUCGUGCCAGCAGCCGCGGUAAU